UACGUAGGGUGCAAGCGUUGUCCGGAAUUAUUGGGCGUAAAGAGCGUGUAGGCGGCUAGGUAGGUCCGUUGUGAAAACUCGAGGCUCAACCUCGAGACGUCGAUGGAAACCAUCUAGCUAGAGUCCGGAAGAGGAGAGUGGAAUUCCUGGUGUAGCGGUGAAAUGCGCAGAUAUCAGGAAGAACACCCGUGGCGAAGGCGGCUCUCUGGUACGUGACUGACGCUGAGACGCGAAAGCGUGGGGAGCGAACAGG
rnacentral:rRNA from 1 species